rnacentral:rRNA from 1 species
UGACUUAGCGGCGGACGGGUGAGUAACGCGUGGGCAACCUGCCUUACACAGGGGGAUAACAAUUAGAAAUGAUUGCUAAUACCGCAUAAGACCCCAGUACCGCAUGGUACAGGGGUAAAAACUGAGGUGGUGUAAGAUGGGCCCGCGUCUGAUUAGGUAGUUGGUGGGGUAGAAGCCUACCAAGCCGACGAUCAGUAGCCGACCUGAGAGGGCGACCGGCCACAUUGGGACUGAGACACGGCCCAAACUCCUACGGGAGGCAGCAG